rnacentral:rRNA from 1 species
GGGGGAAACCCUGACGCAGCAACGCCGCGUGUGGGAAGAAGGCCUUCGGGUCGUAAACCACUUUUACUCGGGACGAAAAAGGGAUAUCAAAUAAAUAUCCCCGAUGACGGUACCGUGAGAAUAAGCCACGGCUAACUCUGUGCCAGCAGCCGCGGUAAGACAGAGGUGGCAAGCGUUGUUCGGAAUUACUGGGCGUAAAGAGUCUGUAGGUGGUUUGUCAAGUCUUUGGUGAAAGGCCGUAGCUUAACUAUGGGAAUGCCAAAGAGACUGGCAGGCUGGAGGCUGGGAGAGGGAAGCGGAAUUUCUGGUGUAGCGGUGAAAUGCGUAGAUAUCAGAAGGAAGGCCGGUGGCGAAGGCGGCUUCCUGGAACAGUCCUGACACUGAGAGACGAAAGCGUGGGGAGCAAACAGGAUUAGAUACCCUGGUAGUCCACGCCCUAAACGAUGGGUACUAAGUGUGGAGGGGUUAAACCCUCCGUGCCGCAGCAAACGCAGUAAGUACCCCGCCUGGGGAGUACGGCCGCAAGGUUGAAACUCAAA